ensembl:snRNA U6 U6 spliceosomal RNA
AUGCUUGCUUUGGCAGCACAUAUACUAAAUUUGGAAGAUACAGAGGUUAGCAUUGCCCCUGCACAAGGAUAACACACAAAUUCAUGAAUUCAUAAUAAAAAAAAAUUUU